GACGAACGCUGGCGGCGUGCUUAACACAUGCAAGUCGAACGGAAAGGCCCUGCUUUUGUGGGGUGCUCGAGUGGCGAACGGGUGAGUAACACGUGAGUAACCUGCCCUUGACUUUGGGAUAACUUCAGGAAACUGGGGCUAAUACCGGCUAGGAGCUCCUGCUGCUUGGUGGGGGUUGGAAAGUUUCGGCGGUUGGGGAUGGACUCGCGGCUUAUCAGCUUGUUGGUGGGGUAGUGGCUUACCAAGGCUUUGACGGGUAGCCGGCCUGAGAGGGUGACCGGCCACAUUGGGACGGAGAUAAGGCCCAGACUCGUACGGGAGGCAGCAGUGGGGAAGAUUGCACAAGGGGCGGAAGCCUGAUGCAGCAACGCCGCGUGCGGGAUGACGGCCUUCGGGUUGUAAACCGCUUUCGCCUGUGACGAAGUGUGAGUGACGGUAAUGGGUAAAGAAGCACCGGCUAACUACGUG
rnacentral:rRNA from 1 species